rnacentral:rRNA from 1 species
AGUUGGCACUCUAAGGUGACUGCCGGUGACAAACCGGAGGAAGGUGGGGACGACGUCAAAUCAUCAUGCCCCUUAUGACCUGGGCUACACACGUGCUACAAUGGAUGGUACAAAGGGCAGCAAGACCGCGAGGUUUAGCCAACCCAUAAAACCAUUCUCAGUUCGGAUUGCAGGCUGCAACUCGCCUGCAUGAAGCCGGAAUCGCUAGUAAUCGCGGAUCAGCAUGCCGCGGUGAAUACGUUCCCGGGCCUUGUACACACCGCCCGUCACACCACGAGAGUUUGUGACACCCGAAGUCGGUGGGGUAACCGUAAGGAGCCAGCCGCCUAAGGYGGGACAGAUGA